CGCCUGCGCAGCUACCAUGCAGUCGAGGGGUAACAGGGAAGAGCUUGCUCUUUCGCUGACGACCGGCGCACGGGUGCGUAACGCGUAUACAACCUACCUUUUAGCGGGGAAUAGCCCAGGGAAACUUGGAUUAAUGCCCCAUAGUAUGGAGGUCUCACCUGAGAUCAUCAUUAAACAUUUAUGGCUAUUAGAUGGGUAUGCGUCCUAUUAGUUAGUUGGUAAGGUAACGGCUUACCAAGGCAUCGAUAGGUAGGGGUCCUGAGAGGGAGAUCCCCCACACUGGUACUGAGACACGGACCAGACUCCUACGGGAGGCAGCAGUGAGGAAUAUUGGACAAUGGGCGAGAGCCUGAUCCAGCCAUGCCGCGUGCAGGAAGACUGCCCUAUGGGUUGUAAACUGCUUUUACAGAGGAAGAACCACUCCCACGUGUGGGAGUUUGACGGUACUCUGCGAAUAAGGAUCGGCUAACUCCGUGCCAGCAGCCGCGGUAAUACGGAGGAUCCAAGCGUUAUCCGGAAUCAUUGGGUUUAAAGGGUCCGUAGGCGGGCAGUUAAGUCAGUGGUGAAAGUCUUCCGCUCAACGGGGGAACUGCCAUUGAAACUGAUUGUCUUGAGUUAUUAUGAAGUGGUUAGAAUGAGUAGUGUAGCGGUGAAAUGCAUAGAUAUUACUCAGAAUACCGAUUGCGAAGGCAGAUCACUAAUAAUAUACUGACGCUGAUGGACGAAAGCGUAGGUAGCGAACAGGAUUAGAUACCCUGGUAGUCUACGCCGUAAACGAUGGUUACUAGCUGUUCGGAUCGAUUAAGAUCUGAGUGGUUAAGCGAAAGUGAUAAGUAACCCACCUGGGGAGUACGUUCGCAAGAAUGAAACUCAAAGGAAUUGACGGGGGCCCGCACAAGCGGUGGAGCAUGUGGUUUAAUUCGAUGAUACGCGAGGAACCUUACCAGGGCUUAAAUGUAGUCUGACAGGAGUGGAAACACUUUUUUCUUCGGACAGAUUACAAGGUGCUGCAUGGUUGUCGUCAGCUCGUGCCGUGAGGUGUCAGGUUAAGUCCUAUAACGAGCGCAACCCCUGUGGUUAGUUGCCAGCGAGUCAAGUCGGGAACUCUAACCAGACUGCCGGUGCAAACCGCGAGGAAGGUGGGGAUGACGUCAAAUCAUCACGGCCCUUACGUCCUGGGCCACACACGUGCUACAAUGGUAGGGACAGAGAGCAGCCACUUCGCGAGAAGGAGCGAAUCUACAAACCCUAUCACAGUUCGGAUCGCAGUCUGCAACUCGACUGCGUGAAGCUGGAAUCGCUAGUAAUCGCAUAUCAGCCAUGAUGCGGUGAAUACGUUCCCGGGCCUUGUACACACCGCCCGUCAAGCCAUGGAAGCCGGGGGUACCUGAAGUCGGUCACCGCAAGAGCCGCCUAGGUAAGCCCUCC
rnacentral:rRNA from 1 species